ensembl:lncRNA
GAGGGGAAUGGCAACCCACUCCAGUCUUCUUGCCUGGAGAAUCCCAUGGAGACAGAGAAGCCUGGCGGGCUACAGUCCAUGGGGUCGCAGAGAGUCAGACGCAACUGAAUCAACUUAGCAGGCAUGUCCUUCUAAACUUCCUUUCUUCCUUUUUAUUUCUUCCUCUCUCUCUCCUUCUCAUUCUUCAUUCAUUCUUGAUUUCUUACCAGAUUUCAUGAAACAUUGACUAUAUGCAUCAGCAUGGGGAUUGAAAAACUAAAGACCUUGCCUCAAGGAAUCUACACACAAUGCAGAAAGUUGCGGAGAUAAUCACGGCUUGGAUUCAACAACCGUUCUGGCGAGGCAGCCUGCAUUCCGUGCGCAUGGCAGGUUGACCCCCGUUCUGGAUUCCCAGCAGCUACUGGAGCUCAUUUUGCUCCCAGGAAGUUGGAGGGACUCUCCCCGGUGGUGCUGGCCACGCUCCGCAGGAGGACAGAGGAGACCGAAUCAUGGUCCACCUUCGGUUUUGUUCUGGGCUAUGAAGAAUCAAGCUGCUGUGAAUCCGCAAGUUCUAGCCCUGUAAGAAAAGGACUUCUUGCAACAAACGAAGCAAGUGUGUUACAGAAGUGUAUUUGCAAAAGCUUCAAAACAGAAGCAGCUAUGACCAGCCCCCAGAUUGCAGUCUUACUUAUGACCCAGAUCCAGAUAUGCACCUGCACUUCUUUUAACUUGUUCAAGAGCAGUCUGUAUUUCUGCAGCCGUUCACGUCUUUGAAGUGAAGGAACAGUGCGAACCAUUGCAUGUGGACACACAUAUGCUUGGAAAUGCUUUCAGGAUCGCCCGUGAUGUGGAACAAUCCUGCAGUAGGAAACCCCUCAUGACGAUAAACCUUAUGUAUCUCCUUCCGUCCGGUGGACGCAGAGCUCUCUUUCCAUGACGCCGUGCUGUGAGAAACGAUAGAGCUUCCAACAGGAGACUCUCAUUCUAUGUCUUGAGAUUCUUAACGGUGUCCAGGACUUUAUAGAAUUGAGAGCAGCUGAGAAGACAGCGGCUGUCUUUCUUUGGGGACUUUCUGCUGCAGCUUUUUCAUUUAUUUAUCUUUCUACUUUGUUGUCCAUUCUCUGACUGCCAAAUACAGUUGAGGUCGUGUUGAGCGCCUAUGUUAUAUAGCAUCUUUCUUUUUAUUAUUAUCAUUUAUUCCUAGACUUUUGCUGUUUAAUAGGUGCUCGGUUAAUAUCAAGAAAUGAAGUUGAGCCUUUUUCGUAUGUGGUACAAACGUAAGUUAACUCUGCUCUCAAUACGAUUCUUUUCCUUAUAAUUUGGCUCUGCUGGGUAUUAGUUGCAGCGUGCGAGAUCUGGUUCCCUGACUAGGGGUCAAACCUACCUACACUGCCUGCAGUGGAAGUGUGGAGCCUUAGCUACUGGACCACCAGAGAAGUCCCGGAUUCCUUUUUUUUUUUUAAUUGAAGUAUAGUUGAUUUAAAAUGUUGGGUUAGUUUCUGCAUUACAGCAAAGUGAUUCGAUUAUACAUAUAGAUACAUAUAUCUGCUCUUUCAGAUUCAGUUUCCUUAUAGGUUAUUAUCGAAUAAUGAGUUUAGUUCACUGUGUUAUAUGGUAUAUCCUUGUUGCUUAUCUAUUUUAUAAGAAGUAGCAUGCAUAUGUUAAUUCCAAA